rnacentral:rRNA from 1 species
UACAGAGGUCUCAAGCGUUGUUCGGAUUUAUUGGGCGUAAAGAGCUCGUAGGCGGCUUGUCGCGUCGUCCGUGAAAACUUGGGGCUCAACCCCAAGCUUGCGGUCGAUACGGGCAGACUAGAGUUCGGCAGGGGAGACUGGAAUUCCUGGUGUAGCGGUGAAAUGCGCAGAUAUCAGGAGGAACACCGGUGGCGAAGGCGGGUCUCUGGGCCGAUACUGACGCUGAGGAGCGAAAGCUAGGGGAGCGAACAGG